UACAGAGGGUGCAAGCGUUAAUCGGAAUUACUGGGCGUAAAGCGUGCGUAGACGGUCAUGUAAGUCGGGUGUGAAAGCCCCGGGCUCAACCUGGGAAUUGCAUUCGAGACUGCGUGGCUAGGGUGCGGAAGAGGGAAGCGGAAUUUCCGGUGUAGCGGUGAAAUGCGUAGAUAUCGGGAGGAACACCAGUGGCGAAAGCGGCUUCCUGGUCCAGCACCGACGUUCAGGCACGAAAGCGUGGGGAGCAAACAGG
rnacentral:rRNA from 1 species